GACGAACGCUGGCGGCGUGCCUAAUACAUGCAAGUAGAACGCUGAAGAGAGGAGCUUGCUCUUCUUGGAUGAGUUGCGAACGGGUGAGUAACGCGUAGGUAACCUGCCUUGUAGCGGGGGAUAACUAUUGGAAACGAUAGCUAAUACCGCAUAACAAUGGAUGACCCAUGUCAUUUAUUUGAAAGGGGCAAAUGCUCCACUACAAGAUGGACCUGCGUUGUAUUAGCUAGUAGGUGAGGUAACGGCUCACCUAGGCGACGAUACAUAGCCGACCUGAGAGGGUGAGCGGCCGCCCUGGGACGGAGACACGGCCCAGACUCCCACGGGAGGCAGCAGUAGGGAAUCGUCGGCAAUGGGGGGAACCCUGACCGAGCAACGCCGCGGGAGGGAAGAAGGUUUUCGGGUCGGAAAGCUCUGUUGUAAGUCAAGAACGAGUGUGAGAGUGGAAAGUUCACACUGUGACGGUAGCUGACCAGAAAGGGACGGCUAACUACGUG
rnacentral:rRNA from 1 species